rnacentral:rRNA from 1 species
AGUGAACGCUGGCGGUAGGCCUAACACAUGCAAGUCGAACGGCAGCACAGUAAGAGCUUGCUCUUACGGGUGGCGAGUGGCGGACGGGUGAGGAAUACAUCGGAAUCUACUUUUUCGUGGGGGGUAACGUAGGGAAACUUACGCUAAUACCGCAUACGACCUACGGGUGAAAGCAGGGGAUCUUCGGACCUUGCGCGAUUGAAUGAGCCGAUGUCGGAUUAGCUAGUUGGCGGGGUAAGGGCCCACCAAGGCGACGAUCCGUAGCUGGUCUGAGAGGAUGAUCAGCCACACUGGAACUGAGACACGGUCCAGACUCCUACGGGAGGCAGCAGUGGGGAAUAUUGGACAAUGGGCGCAAGCCUGAUCCAGCCAUACCGCGUGGGUGAAGAAGGCCUUCGGGUUGUAAAGCCCUUUUGUUGGGAAAGAAAAGCAGCAGGUUAAUACCCCGCUGUUCUGACGGUACCCAAAGAAUAAGCACCGGCUAACUUCGUG